AGACAGCUAGGAGGUUGGCUUAGAAGCAGCCACCCUUUAAAGAAAGCGUAAUAGCUCACUGGUCUAGAUAAGCCGUCCUGCGCCGAAAAUGUACCGGGGCUCAAGCCGUGCACCGAAGCUGCGGACUCGUCUUUGACGAGUGGUAGCGGAGCGUUGCCUAGGCCUGCGAAGCGGCACCCGUGAGGGGCCGUGGAGGCAUGGCAAGUGCGAAUGCUGACAUGAGUAGCGAUAA
rnacentral:rRNA from 1 species